ACCGUAAUGCUAUGUUCAGACUACGCCGUUGUAUCAUGAUACAAGCGGUUUUCGUGAUACAAGGCCAAUAUCAUGUUUCUGGAACGUGAUAUUGCCAUACAUUUUUGACACCUCCAAUAUCACCUUCCCGAACGUGAUAUUCUGAAUAUCACGAUACAACUGCUCGAAAUUGCUGCUCGAAUGUCGAUUUUCUGGCAACCCUGGCGGGAAUUUGACAGAAAUGUCAUUUGGAAAAGUUUGUUUUUAUUGUUGUUUUCCUUGACCGAAAUCAGGAGGAUUGUGCUCCAAAAGCAGCAAAAAUAUUUCAUUUUCUGCAAAACUCUUCCGCUGCGGUUAUUCCGGAAAAUCAGACAGCAGGUGAUGGACCCGUGAAUAUUGCUUCGGAUUAAUGGAAGCUCCAGUGGUGGCCACAACGAAAGGCCCUGUGAGUGUGGAAAAUUGCAAUGGGAAGGAAGGAAUUACUGUGGCCCGGAUAGUACGAUGGACUGUCACACAUCGCGACACGAUCAUCAGAACAUCGCAAUUGCCGGAGGAACUUCUUCUAGAACCCACAUUUCAACUUCAAGCACUUCCCCGCACAGCAACGGAGCGCUGCGAUAAUGUUCUGCGGCCAGAGUUCAAUUUCGCAAAAGUAUAUCAGCAGUCAGCACCCAGAUAGAAUUCCAAACAGCAUUUUCGGCAUCUCCGUCUUCGAGAGCGAAUCGUUUGGUGAAAUUAUCAGCCGUAUGAGAGGCAUUCCGUGAUGGUGACGCGUGCCUGUGGCUAGUAGAUUACCAAGCAGCAAAAAGCAAACCAAUUGGUGGAAUAUUAGUUAACUAUCCGGAAGAUGUCCACCUAUCUAACUACCCACUAAUCCUAGUUAUGUGUGUUUGUGUUGUGUGCGUACCUAGUUAAAAAAGCCACAAAUAAGUGUGAUAUGAAGAAAAAACUUAAUGUACCAAGCAGAAUUCCAAAUAAACUUUUUUAUUCGCUUUUGUUUACGUGAA